rnacentral:rRNA from 1 species
UCCUGGCUCAGAUGACGCUGGCGGCGUGCCUAAUACAUGCAAAGUCGAGCGAACAGAUAAGGAGCUUGCUCCUUUUGACGUUAGCGGCGGACGGGUGAGUAACACGUGGGUAACCUACCUAUAAGACUGGAAUAACUCCGGGAAACCGGGGCUAAUGCCGGAUAAUAUUUAGAACCGCAUGGUUCUAAAGUGAAAGAUGGUUUUUGCUAUCACUUAUAGAUGGACCCGCGCCGUAUUAGCUAGUUGGUGGGGUAAUGGCUUACCAAGGCAACGAUACGUAGCCGACCUGAGAGGGUGAUCGGCCACACUGGAACUGACGACACGGUCCAGACUCCUACGGGAGGCAGCAGUAGGGAAUCUUCCGCAAUGGGCGAAAGCCUGACGGAGCAACGCCGCGUGAGUGAUGAAGGUCUUCGGAUCGUAAAACUCUGUUAUUAGGGAAGAACAAAUGUGUAAGUAACUGUGCACGUCUUGACGGUACCUAAUCAGAAAGCCACGGCUAACUACGUG